rnacentral:rRNA from 1 species
AAGGGUGGCGUAGGCGGCCUGUUAAGUCAGGGGUGAAAGACGGUAGCUCAACUAUCGCAGUGCCCUUGAUACUGAUGGGCUUGAAUUGACUAGAGGUAGGCGGAAUGUGACAAGUAGCGGUGAAAUGCAUAGAUAUGUCACAGAACACCGAUUGCGAAGGCAGCUUACUAUGGUCUUAUUGACGCUGAGGCACGAAAGCGUGGGGAUCAAACAGGAUUAGAUACCCCUGU